rnacentral:rRNA from 1 species
CGUCUAUAUACGUAUAGCAUAUCAAUAAGCGGAGGAAAAGAAACUAACUAGGAUUCCCCUAGUAACGGCGAGUGAAGCGGGAAGAGCUCAAAUUUGAAAUCUUCAAGGUUCUACCUUGACGAAUUGUAGUUUAAAGAAGUGUUUUCUGUUGGAAUUUUGGUAAAAGUUCUUUGGAAAUAGGACAUCAAUAGAGGGUGAGAAUCCCGUAUUUGACCAUUAUUUCCAGCUUUGUGAUACACUUUCAAAGAGUCGGAUUGUUUGGGAAUGCAGUCCAAAAUGGGUGGUAAAUUUCAUCUAAAGCUAUAUACUGGCGAGAGACCGAUAGCGAACAAGUACCGUGAGGGAAAGAUGAAAAGAACUUUGAAAAGAGAGUUAAACAGUACGUGAAAUUGUCAAAAGGGAAGCGUUUGACACCAGUGUUGUUUUCUCGAAAAUCAAUUAAAAAAUGCUGGAUUUUGUGUUGUAUUGACUUUAUCAGCUUUCUGCACUCUUUUUCCUGUCUUUUUUAAUGCACUUUUCGUUUAACAAGUCAACAUCAAUUUCUUUUGUUGUAAAAGGGUCAUUGGAAGGUGGCUUUCUUUUCGGAGAAAGUGUUUAUAGCCUUUGACUUCUGCAAUCGGAGAGAUUGAGGUCUGCAGCGUAGAUCCUUCGGGGUUAGAUACAUUUGUGCUAAGUUAUAGCCUUUCAUAGACAACUUGUUGACUAUGAUCAGUCAUGUAGCUUACUCGCUUAUGUCUAUUUUACCUACGCUUAGGAUGUUGACGAUCAGCUGAGCGCG